AUAUGAAGUAUGCAGCUGCACAAGUGUCACUUACGUCUUGUGGACAGGUUUCUGGAACCCCUCUCCCUGGUCCAGUGGGUGAAUCUCGCCCGCAAACUGCAUAGGCGUUAAGUCAGUCCGAUAACACCCACGCUGUGCUGUGCAAGAGCCGUGCAGGCCAUCUUCAGCCUGUGUCACACGACCUUGCGUCCCCACGUCUCAUGACUGAAGACGCCAGUUGGACCUCUGCAGAGCAGGAAGAGAUAACGUUAGCGUCUCUGAACUUGUUUGAUGUAUGACUGAAGAUGCUUGUUUAUGUCACCCAGAUGCACCUUACCUAUCUAUCCUAUUUGAUGGAAAGUUGAGGUUGUUUCCAGUUCUCCACUAUUGUGCGUAGAAUGGCGAUGAACAUUCCCAGGAUUUAGAAAGGUACAGGGAGUAUAAUGCUGGGGUAAGAAUGUGCCAGGAGAUAAAUGGAAAAGAAUACAGAGUCCACAGAUAGACUCAUAAACAUGGGCAACUGAUCUUUGUCAAAAGAUCAGAGGCAAUUUGAUGGAGAAAAUUUAGUCUUUUAAACAAAUGGUGAUGGCACAAUCGGGUGACCAUAUGGAAAAAACUUAACAAAGACGCCAACUUUUCACAUGACACAAAUAUUCACAAAAAUUGUUCAUUGAUGUAAACAUAAACUGCGAAACUCUCAAAAUUCUAGAACUAGCAAAGGAGAAGAUAUGACCUCAGUUUUCAUAAUGACCUUUUAUCUUCAACAUUGAAAGAACGAGUCUUCAAAGAAAAAUCCAGUUAAGGUGGACUUUGUUAGAAUUAAAAUUUUCUACUCUAUGAUAAUCACUGUUAAGAGAAGAAAAAGACCAACCCUAGACUGUGCGAAAUCUUUGGAAGAAGCCUGUCUAAGAAAGGGCUUGUAUUAAAAUGUACAAAGCAUCAUAAAUUCAACAAUAAGAAAACAAACAUUCCAAUGAAAAAUGGGUAAAGAUCUGAACAGACACCUCGCUAAUGAAGGUAUAAGCAUACAAUAAGCAUGCAAGAAGAUGCUCAAAAUCACUUAUCAUUAGAGAGAAGCAAGUUGAAACAAAGUGAGACGCCUUGACACACAAAUACACGAGAUCAAUUCAUGGCUGGGGGGUAGGACAGCACAGACUCUCUGUCGUCACUGCUGCCCAUGCCGAGUGGUGCAGCCACUGUGGAAGACACUUGGGCACUUUCUUACAGAGCUAAACAUCAUCUUAACACGUGAUCCCUCAACCAUCUUCCUAGGUAUUUACACAAUGUUUUCAAAUAGAACGUCAACAAAAAAGCCAGCACACAUAUAUAGACUGCUCCUCAUUUAUACAGGCAGGGAACUUGAAUGAACAAAGAUAACCUUCCAUAAAUGAAAGGACACCCAAAUGAGGUACAUCCAUGCAAUGUAAUGCUAUCAGGUGCCAACACUGAAAGAGCUAUCAAGAUGAAAACACAUGGAGGAAUCUCAAAUUCACCUUUCUAACAGAAAGAAGCAUCUGCGAAGGCUGGGUAGAGUACGGUCUCAUUGAUACGGCAUUCUGCAAACACAAAGCUAUCAAUUUGAUACACAGAUCAGCUUCCCAGAGCUGUGCAGGCCUGGGCGCGGGCUGGAGGGCUCCAUGUGGCCAUGCGUUCGACUGGGAAGCCGUGCUCUGAACUGACGUUGACCUUAAUCUAAACAUGGCUGUUUCCAUAUAGACACAUAUAUAGCAGACAGUGUACACACGGUAAGGUCAGCACACCAGCCUAACUUAAGCAUCCUGCCACCGAGAGAACCAAGAAUCAAGGACACCCCGGAGCAACCAGCACACUGAGCUCACAGAUGCACUUUUUU
ensembl:lncRNA